UCGUGUUUGUCCUCCUGAUGUAAUCCCUCAACAGUGGAGGGAGCUUGUCCACUAUUGGUUUUCCGAGAAAGCUCAGACAUAUUCCAACAUUGGUAGAGCUGCACGAGCCUCUCAGACUGUUCCUCAUACUUCAGGCUCGAUGAGUUAUGCUCGACGUAAAGCUGAAUUCAUGGAUGAUAACGGAAGGGAGCCUGGUAAGGUGGAGUUUUAUAAAAUGACUCACACCCACUGAGAUGGCAGUUUUGUUCGGAAGGAGGCAAGAGAUAUAGUUGUAUGUAUUCAUCUUUGAAUCUUUCAACGAUAUUUUUAUUAGUUCUAUUAUUGGCAUACAUUAAUAUGACUUUUUCUUUUGAGAGAUAUAGGACAGAGCAACAACUCUUAUUUAAGAGCGCGUCGGGGAGUCAUCAUCAUCCGACGCGACCAGUCAU